rfam:Gossypium raimondii chromosome 2, whole genome shotgun sequence.
AUAUCAUGAUGAGGGCACUCCCAUAAUAAUUAUGUGUACCUUUCCCAUGCCUCAUACAAGGACUCGUCAUCCAUUUGUUGGAAAAUAGUUAUCUUGUUCAUCAACUU